CCUUUUUGUUGACCUUUUUAGUCGGUGCUCAUAAUUUGGAUUUUUUUUAAAACUAAAAUUGGUUGCAGAGAGAGAAAGAGUUCGUUCGACGCUUAAAUCAGACCCCUGAAAUUUUCGUGUCUCCAGAGUUCUCCAGCUAACCACAGACCCCUGUUUGCCGUACUUUCAUUGCACGCAGAUAUUCUGGUAAUAAACGUGGUCCAACCAGUAGCUGAUAAAAUGUCAUUGUAUAUAUGCUUUUGUCGAUUUCUGCUAAGAUAAUGAGGGAAUCCAAAGGAUCGAGGCCAAUCGAUCUGAGGUUUGUACUACUCUAUCCCUUUCUUUCUCUCUUUCUGUGAAUUUCUUGAAAUUGACGACGCACGUUCUGAUUCUUGCUAUGUUUGGGAGCGGAGAAAGCUCUAGAUUAGCUUUGAUCGCUUGAAUUUUUUCUUAUUUAGUUCAGCACAGUCGGACUACAUAAUCCUACCAUUGGGCUAUUUCUAGGGACGUUUAUGUUUACUUUUGUUAGUUUGUUGACAGUUUGGUAUGUCUAUCAUAUUGAUGGAACUAAAUUGUGAGUUAAUUAUGGUUUAGGUUGUAGAAUUCUGAAUUCGGAAUUCCCUUUGGAAACUGUCACAAGUGAUGUGUCUGUUGUGGCUACAGGAAUCAAAAGCGAGUGAAAGGUAAAGCUUCUCUCCAAACAUUCAUCGGCAGCAAUUCCAACCAGAGCCAGGCGCUUCUCGAGACGGCAUUGGAACGUGCAGGGGAUGAGGAUUCAGGGUAUGAGGAGGAAAUGGUAAAGGAGGAGGACCAAAACGCGUUCUCUGUUGGGAUAAUUGGUGCCCUGAAUGCCAGAAAGUCUGCACUCACCACUCAUUAAUUA